AACGAACGCUGGCGGCAGGCUUAACACAUGCAAGUCGAACGCACCUUUCGGGGUGAGUGGCAGACGGGUGAGUAACGCGUGGGAAUCUACCCUUCUCUACGGGAUAGCUCCGGGAAACUGGAAUUAAUACCGUAUACGUCCUGAGGGAGAAAGAUUUAUCGGGGAAGGAUGAGCCCGCGUUGGAUUAGCUAGUUGGUGGGGUAAAGGCCUACCAAGGCGACGAUCCAUAGCUGGUCUAAGAGGAUGAUCAGCCACAUUGGGACUGAGACACGGCCCAAACUCCUACGGGAGGCAGCAGUGGUGAAUAUUGGACAAUGGGCGCAAGCCUGAUCCAGCCAUGCCGCGUGAGUGAUGAAGGCCCUAGGGUUGUAAAGCUCUUUCAGUGGGGACGAUAAUGACGGUACCCACAGAAGAAGCCCCGGCUAACUUCGUG
rnacentral:rRNA from 1 species